GGCCCGGUGGCGGAUGGUCCGCACCACUCUAUGGUACGCAAUUCUCGAGUCGACCAGUGAGACGCUCGUUCGAUUCGAGCCUGGGCCG